rnacentral:rRNA from 1 species
UUUAAUUCUGGCUCCGGGAUGAACCGCGGGGGGCGGGCUUUACCCCAUGCAAAUCGAAAGAAGCACUUUAUUCCGAUCCCUUCGGCGUGACGAUUUUAGUGACUGAGUGGCGGACGGGUGAGUAACGCGUGGGUAACCUGCCUCAUACAGGGGGAUACAAACUGGAAACGGUUGUUAAUACCGCAUAAGCGCACAGUACCACAUGGUACGGUGUGAAAAACUCCGGUGGUAUGAGAUGGACCCGCGUCUGAUUAGCUAGUUGGUGAGGUAACGGCCCACCAAGGCGACGAUCAGUAGCCGACAUGAGAGGGUGACCGGCCACAUUGGGACUGAGACACGGCCCAAACUCCUACGGGAGGCAGCAGUGGGGAAUAUUGCACAAUGGAGGAAACUCUGAUGCAGCGACGCCGCGUGAGCGAAGAAGUAUUUCGGUAUGUAAAGCUCUAUCAGCAGGGAAGAAAAAAUGACGGUACCUGACUAAGAAGCCCCGGCUAACUACGUGCCAGCAGCCGCGGUAAUACGUAGGGGGCAAGCGUUAUCCGGAUUUACUGGGUGUAAAGGGAGCGCAGGCGGUCUGAUAAGUCUGAUGUGAAAGCCCGGGGCUCAACCCCGGGAUUGCAUUGGAAACUGUCGGACUUGAGUAUUGCAGGGGGAGACGGAAUUUCAGGUGUAGCGGUGGAAUGCGUAGAUAUCUGAAAGAACACCAAUGGCGAAGGCAGUCUCCUGGGCAAAUACUGACGCUCAUACGCGAAAGCGUGGGUAGCAAACAGGAUUAGAUACCCUGGUAGUCCACGCCGUAAACGAUGUCAAUUAGGAGCUGGGACUUAACUCUGGGUUCCCUAGCAAACGCAAUA